rnacentral:rRNA from 1 species
CUGGCUCAGAACGAACGCUGGCGGCAGGCCUAACACAUGCAAGUCGAGCGCGCCCUUCGGGGUGAGCGGCGGACGGGUUAGUAACGCGUGGGAACGUACCCUUUGGUAGGGAAUAGCCACUGGAAACGGUGAGUAAUACCCUAUGAGCCCUUCGGGGGAAAGAUUUAUCGCCAAGGGAUCGGCCCGCGUUAGAUUAGGUAGUUGGUGGGGUAAUGGCCUACCAAGCCUACGAUCUAUAGCUGGUUUUAGAGGAUGAUCAGCAACACUGGGACUGAGACACGGCCCAGACUCCUACGGGAGGCAGCAGUGGGGAAUCUUGGACAAUGGGGGCAACCCUGAUCCAGCCAUGCCGCGUGAGUGAAGAAGGCCUUAGGGUCGUAAAGCUCUUUCGCCUGUGAAGAUAAUGACGGUAGCAGGUAAAGAAACCCCGGCUAACUCCGUGCCAGCCGCCGC